AAGAGACAGCAGUCGCCACGGUAAUACGGAGGGUGCAAGCGUUAAUCGGAAUUACUGGGCGUAAAGCGCACGCAGGCGGUCUGACAAGUCAGAUGUGAAAUCCCCGGGCUUAACCUGGGAACUGCAUUUGAAACUGUCAGGCUGGAGUCUUGUAGAGGGGGGUAGAAUUCCAGGUGUAGCGGUGAAAUGCGUAGAGAUCUGGAGGAAUACCGGUGGCGAAGGCGGCCCCCUGGACAAAGACUGACGCUCAGGUGCGAAAGCGUGGGGAGCAAACAGGAUUAGAUACCCCAGUAGUCCCUGUCUCUUAUAC
rnacentral:rRNA from 1 species